AGCAGCCGCCGCGGGAAUACGAGGGGGGCAAGCGUUGUUCGGAAUUAUUGGGCGUUAAGGGUGCGUAGGCGGUUUGAUAAGUCUUGCGUGAAAUCUAUGGGCUCAACCCAUAGUCUGCACAGGAAACUGUCGGGCUUGAGAGUGGGAGAGGUGAGUGGAAUUUCCGGUGUAGCGGUGAAAUGCGUAGAUAUCGGAAGGAACACCUGUGGCGAAAGCGGCUCACUGGACCAUUUCUGACGCUGAUGCACGAAAGCUAGGGGAGCAAACAGGAUUAGAUACCCCCGUAGUCCCUGUCUCUUUACA
rnacentral:rRNA from 1 species